rnacentral:siRNA from 1 species
GUCCUUCAUGUUGGAAUCUGAUGC